GGCAGUCAGCUUAGCGUGACCAAUUGGUGUGUGUGUGUGUGUGUGUGUCGCCGUGAUCUCUGAGUGCCGAGCACACUCGCAGAAUACUCUGCCCACAUAUUACCCGUACGCCGCGCAUCAGCCCACCACCCUCUAUCGUCUUGCAUGUGGCACGUACCGCCGCACAAGUCCGCCCAUGACUCCAUCUCUUCCUCUGUCGCUGCAUCCUCAUCCGCCGUCGCACCCUCGGCGCUGAGCGAGGAUGUAGCAAGGCUGCUAGCGUGGGGGCGACACGCGCUGCUAGCACAGCGACAGCAGCGACGUGCCUCGAGCACUAGCCUCGCCUGCGCUGACCAAGACUCGAUGUCGCCGAGGCCGCCGCGUCUGUCGUCCUCUGCCGCGCCAGUAUCCACUCCCGUGGCUCCAGGAACCGAUGAGCGCUCGUGGGAGCUGCAUGCACAAGGCCUGAAGGCAUCGGCGAGCACAUCCGGCUUCUCGCGCACGACUGCGGAUGCCCCUUAUACCGUCGAACAAGCACGGAAGCGCCUCGCUCAGCUCGAGGAGCUGGAGGCGGCAAACACGCGCGUGUUUGAGAGCAGAUGGGCGCUGCUGAGUCUCGGCCGCGAGCGGCUGCUACGACUACACCGUAAGCAGCGCGAGGGUGAGGCCCCAUCGCCGCAUACUCGUCACCUUCAGCGGCUUACCGUCGCUGUGCAGGCCAUCGUGGAAGGGGAAGCGUCGCUGAAGGAGGCUUUGCGCGACAUGCUGCGGGGUUUGGCAGAGCUGUACCAGCGACAUCAGCAACACCACGGUCAAACUGAGGAGUAUGCGGCCCACUCAGCGUCGGCUCGGGAGAAAAAGGCGACCCUGCUGGAGUCUGUCCACGGGGGUGGCUCCUGCGACUCGGAAGAGGAUGCAGGGGCGAAGGAAAGCGCGCCCGAUUCGUUGCGAAGUCUUGCGGAUGCUGUGGUGCGGCGCACCCGCCUCCUGCUAGACUCGCACUGUGAGUCGCAGAGAGCUCGCGCAGAGCAGCGCAGGGCCGCGACAGCGCGGCUACAGCGGCGCGCCGAAAGUGAACAGGCGCUGCAGCAUCGGCUCGAAAGGCUGAAGGCGGCCGUGGCGGAGGCGACCAAGGAAGAAGCCCACGAACGUCGCCGGCUGGCGGAGUUGCGGGCGCAGUGCGCAGCGGCUGAGCGCGCCGCUGCGUUACAGAAUGCGUCCGCGCUGCGAGAGCAAGCCACAAAGGAGGCACUGCAGCGUCUUCAACAACUGCAUCAGCACGCCGCUUUCCAGGACGCCAUCGCGCGUCAGGAGCUGGCCGCCAGCGAGGCUCGCUAUCACCAGGCGAAGGCAGCCUACGACGUGGCCAUCAGUGAUCACCACGCUGCUGAAGAAGCGCUCGCAGCGGCGCAACAGGCAUACCGCGACUCGAAGCGAAGACGUGAGGAUGCAGAGGAUGAUCUUGAGCGGGUGCGGCAAGCCUUGAAGUCCGUGUCCGACAAGUACGAUGAAGUGCACGCGCAGCGUGCACAGGCAGCAGCAGACUGUGCGGCCGUGGACGAAGCGCUCUAUCAGAAGCGGCGCGCGCGCGACGGUUGGCUGUCAGGGGAAAAAGGUGAUGACAGCAGCGAGGUAGCCGCGGCCUUCUGUCUCGGUGGGUCAAGUGCCGCAAACGGUGCAGCGGAACGCUACACAGUGCUUCAGCGAGAACUGCCGCGGCUGGAGCGGCACUUGCAGCGCAGUGUGGAGGAGGUGGUCGCUCUGGAGCGGACCGAGGCCGAGCUACGCGGCACGCUGGAGCGGGAGCGGAGCGCGCUCGACCUGCUUCGCCGACAGAAGACGGCCCUUGAGGCGCACCUGGCGUCCCUCGAGAGUUGCGUCGACGGCGCACUCGGCGUUGUGGCGCGGGAAAAGGCGGGCAGCCAAGGGCCUGCAGUGUGGUGAGAAUAUCGUUUCCGACGGCGAGGCAGUUGGGAGGAGGGGCUCAUCGGUGCUGCCGGCUGUUGAGGAGCUGGCGGGCAAGGAGGAAGACGCUGGCACACUUGGCGAACACAGAGCACCUCUUCAUGUACGUUGUGGCCCCCUCCCCGACACGCACGCGCACACACACACCGCACCCUCUCUCUCUCUCGCUCCACGACGCAUGUCCGUCCAGCUGCCUCCCUCCUUCCCUACAACUCGACUGUGUGUAUGUGUGUGUGUGUAUGUGUGUGUGUGUGCGUGUGGUCUAUCGCAACGUGCGUGCUCACCUUCGUCCCUCUCCAUUCG
rnacentral:misc_RNA from 1 species